CGAUCCUCUCUCUCACAGACGAUCUGUGGACGGUUCCGCUCCGCAGACACGUCGGUUGGGAGACUCUGCCUGGAAACACCGCAGGCUAAUCGGAAGCGGCAGCGGCCGACAGAGACGGACGGGUCUCGCAGGCUACGUGGGGGUCGAUUAGCUCUCUGUCACAGUGUGGUUCAGAGCAAAGACGACAGACUGAACAUCACGGUGGCCGCUCUACACACCUGUACCUGUGUGUCUGUGCUCAGGUGUGACCUGCUGCGUUGAUGAUGGGAGGAGAGCAGAGCCGUGAGAGAAAGGCUGAGGAGAAAGAGGACGAGACUGAAAAACACCACGAGUCUUCUGCAGCUGACGGUUCAGCUUCUGCUGCCUCUGAAGACACCCCAGGAGAGCUGCCCCAGUGCAGGAUGGGAAACAGGCGGGUAGACAACAUGUGUUUCAUGAUCACCUGCACCAACUGGUACUAAACUGGUCCUGGUACAGCAGCUUGUGAGGACAUCUGAGGGAGAAGAUGAAAGCCAUGUGGGGUCUGAGUUGCUGUCUGUUGUUCCACCGCUGCUUGUCAGAGGACGUCCUCAGAGCGUCCUGGGCGUGUCUCAGACGAUGGUCCUCCUGGUCUAAACCAUGUCACAGCUCAGUGAAUGUUUAUUCUGGAAGGAAAACAUGAAGCAACAGACCUGAAUGCUGUGUGUAACACAGGUGAGCUCUUAGAUUCAGUAUUAUCUGCUGCUGUAAAUGACACUGUGUAGAUGCUCGGCAGCUUUUGUCCAUUAACACAGAUAUUAUAUAAACUCUCCUGCUUCCUCCUGCUCCUCCUCAGACUGGUCUGCAUCUGUAAAUACAAGCACUGCGAAACUGUGAGAUUUGAAUUUGAGCCAAAUCAGUUGUGUGAUUUGUUGUGAAUAAUGAUGUUUGUUUGUUUUUUUUCCCAUUUGUGUUUCAUUAUUUUUCAACACUGAAAUGAAUUAAAGUAACAUACAACCUGAAAA